AUAGAGACUCAGAGCUGCAUAUCAAUAAGCGGAGGAAAAGAAACUAACAAGGAUUCCCUUAGUAACGGCGAGUGAAGCGGGAAGAGCUCAAAUUUGAAAUCUUCAAGGUCCUACCUUGACGAAUUGUAGUUUAUAGAAGUGUUUUCUGUUAGAUGAGUAGCAAAAGUUCCUUGGAAUGGGACAUCAUAGAGGGUGAGAAUCCCGUAUUUGGUUAUUCAUUCUAGCUUUGUGAUACACUUUCAAAGAGUCGGAUUGUUUGGGAAUGCAGUCCAAAAUGGGUGGUAAAUUUCAUCUAAAGCUAAAUAUUGGCGAGAGACCGAUAGCGAACAAGUACCGUGAGGGAAAGAUGAAAAGAACUUUUGAAAAGAGAGUUAAACAGUACGUGAAAUUGUCAAAAGGGAAGCGUUUGACACCAGUGUUGUUUUCCUCGAAAAUCAAUUAAAAAAGGCUGGAUUAUGUGUUGUACUGACUUUAUCAGCUUUCUGCACUCUUUUCUUGUCUUUUUUAAUGCACUUUUCGUUUAACAAGUCAACAUCAAUUUCUUUUGUUGUAAAAGGGUCAUUGGAAGGUGGCUUUCUUUUCGGAGAAAGUGUUUAUAGCCUUUGGACCUCUGCAAUCGGAGAGACUGAGGUCUGCAGCGUAGAUCCUUCGGGGUUAGAUACAUUUGUGCUAAGUUAUAGCCUUUCAUAGACAACUUGUUGACUAUGAUUCAGUCAUGUCGCUUACUCGCUUAUGCUAUUUUACCUACGCUUAGGAUGUUGACGAUCAGCUGAGCGCG
rnacentral:rRNA from 1 species